rnacentral:rRNA from 1 species
GACGAACGCUGGCGGCGUGCCUAAUACAUGCAAGUAGAACGCUGAAGAGAGGAGCUUGCUCUUCUUGGAUGAGUUGUGAACGGGUGAGUAACGCGUAGGUAACCUGCCUUGUAGCGGGGGAUAACUAUUGGAAACGAUAGCUAAUACCGCAUAACAAUAGGUGACACAUGUCAUUUAUUUGAAAGGGGCAAUUGCUCCACUACAAGAUGGACCUGCGUUGUAUUAGCUAGUAGGUGAGGUAACGGCUCACCUAGGCGACGAUACAUAGCCGACCUGAGAGGGUGAUCGGCCACACUGGGACUGAGACACGGCCCAGACUCCUACGGGAGGCAGCAGUAGGGAAUCUUCGGCAAUGGGGGCAACCCUGACCGAGCAACGCCGCGUGAGUGAAGAAGGUUUUCGGAUCGUAAAGCUCUGUUGUAAGUCAAGAACGAGUGUGAGAGUGGAAAGUUCACACUGUGACGGUAGCUUACCAGAAAGGGACGGCUAACUACGUG